ACAUACAGGCGCGCGCUCCGCAACUGACGCACCGCGCGCACAGUAUUGACAAGAAAAGAGUUGUGAAACUUUCUAUCUCGUAAGGAGUUAUGAACGUGAAAUAGUGACACAGACUGGCUACACCAUCUCAUCUGCAGCAGAGAUUGUUGUAUCAGAAGGACAGCGCGUUUGUUUGACGCACUUUUCACUUCAACUGUGUCUGACAGGAGAAUUAGCUUUCUGAGCCUUCUAGCCGUUGAGUUACCAUGGCAACCGCGUACACAUCAGCUGCUGGAGAGGAGAGGACUCGUCUGACAUUUUCUCUGUUUCUCGUCAGUUAUACCAAAGAAAAGGCCAACAACUGCGACAGAUUUUGAUUUCAGGAGUGUCUUAAAAACCCUCUAAAACAGAGGAGAAGUUCCAAGAAAAUGUCUAACGGGACCUGCUGACAGAGAUAGAAAACACAGGUGAUGCUACAAAGCUUAUUAAAUAACUUCAUAUUUAUUUUUUACAAUAUAUCAUCAUGCAUCUGUAAAAUCUAAACAUGUGAAUUCUGGUAUCUAAAGAUUUUUGUAUGUUUUCCAUAUUGCUAUUUUUCUUUUCUGCAUUUCCCCUAUUCUCUAGUUUGUUUAUUUCUAAUAAGGAGCUGGAGGCCGUGAAGAUACAGAUCCAUGAUAUUGUGGAGAAGCAGGCCCAGCUGAGCGAGUGGAGAGCUGUGCUGGAAAUAUUCAGGGGUUGAUGCUCAUAAGUCCAGGGUAAGUAUACAGCUAACCCUACUACCACCUCUACUCUGUGUGGUUCUCUGCAAAGGCCCGGUGUACCCAGGAUGCGAUCUUCCCAGAUGUCCUUCACCCUAUUUCAUAGUGUAAGACAUGAUCCAGGCCCUGGGCGACGACCUCUCUCCAUCCGCCGCCUCCGGUCUUCAGGAUCUCCACCAGAACCCGAUUCGCUCCACUUCGCGAGACAGAACAAAACGCUGUGAUCAUCAGAGACUCCAUCGUCCGGCACGUUUGCGCUAUGUUAGCUGAAGGUAAAGUCCACACUGACUACUUCCCUGGUGCUCAUGUUCUUGAUAUUUCUGCACAGAUUCCCGUGACCCUGAAGAGUGAGGUGGGCAUCAGAGCGGACGGAGACACUGAAGAGGGACUUCAGGAGCCUGAUCAAGACAGUGCGCAGCAUAUCGCCUGCAUGAUGAUCAUCGUGUCAGGACCACUUCCCACGUAUAGAUGAGGACAUGAAAGGCUUUUUAGAUCUCCUGUUGGACAACAUCUCCAGGACACUUCGCUCCAUAUGACUAGGCAGUUUGUGAAAAGAGAUAAUCAAGAGAAGUCAGUUCCAGAUCCACCCUCCACACCAGACCUCUCUCUCACGAGGAUUGCUGUCUACUAGCAUAUUGUGUUCUUCAGCUCUUCAGACUUCGGUGGAUGCAGAUAUUACUCAGGGACAUGAACACUAGAAUAUUGCAAGAAUAGAGAAAAGGGACUUUGCGGGGGAUUCUUGAAAAUAGAUUAGCUUCACACAGACGUCUUCUAACUGUCACAGUACUUACAGGUAACUCCAGACUGUCUUUGAUCAUCCUGGAGGUGAUCAUUGGCUGAGCCUUUGCCAUUCUGGUUAUUCUUCUAUCCAUUUUGAUGGUUGUCUUCCGUUUUCUUCCACGUCUCUCUGGUUUUGCUCUCCAUUUUAAGGCAUUGGAGAUCAUUUUAGCUGAACAGCCUAUCAUUUUUUGCACCUCUUUAUAGGUUUUCCCCUCUCUAAUCAACUUUUUAAUCAAAGUACGCUGUUCUUCUGAACAAUGUCUUGAACGACCCAUUUUCCUCAGCUUUCAAAUGCAUGUUCAACAAGUGUUGGCUUCAUCCUUAAAUAGGGGCCACCUGAUUCACACCUGUUUCUUCACAAAAUUGAUGACCUCAGUGAUUGAAUGCCACACUGCUAUUUUUUUGAACACACCCCUUUCAACUAAUUCAACUAAUUGCCCAAUUGCACAGCCUUAA